rnacentral:tmRNA from 1 species
GGGCUUGUUUGGAUUUGACGGCAAGACGAAAUGGUACGUAAGCACGCGGAGAAAGCGUAUGGUUUCCUUGUGCGGACGUGGGUUCGACUCCCACCAGGUCCACCU